UACAGAGGGCUCAAGCGUUGUUCGGAUUCAUUGGGCGUAAAGGGUGCGUAGGCGGCGCGGUAAGUCGGGUGUGAAAUCUCGGAGCUUGACUCCGAAACUGCAUUCGAUACUGCCGUGCUUGAGGACUGGAGAGGAGACUGGAAUUUACGGUGUAGCGGUGAAAUGCGUAGAUAUCGUAAGGAAGACCAGUGGCGAAGGCGGGUCUCUGGACAGUUCCUGACGCUGAGGCACGAAGGUCAGGGGAGCAAACGGG
rnacentral:rRNA from 1 species